rnacentral:rRNA from 1 species
UUAGGAAUAUUCUUCAAUGCGCGAAAGCGUGAAAGAGCAAGCCAGAGUGCGUUCAAUUUGAAUGCUUUUGCCAAAUGUAAAAAGUUUGGCGAAUAAGGACUGGGAGAGACGGGUGCCAGCCGCCGCGGUAAUACCCGCGGUCCAAGUCGCAGCCAUCAUUAUUGGGUCUAAAACAUCCGUAGCUUGCUCAGUAAGUUCUUUGUGAAAUCCUAUGCCUCAAACAUAGGGCGUGCAAAGAGUACUGCUAAGCUAGAGACCGGAAGACGCAAAAAGUAUGUUCAAAGUAGCGGUAAAAUGCGUUAAUCUUGGACAGACUAAUAACAGCGAAGGCAUUUUGCGAGGACGGUUCUGACAGUUAGGGAUGAAGGCUAGGGGCGCAAAGUGG